AGUGAACGCUGGCGGUAGGCCUAACACAUGCAAGUCGAACGGCAGCACAGUAAGAGCUUGCUCUUACGGGUGGCGAGUGGCGGACGGGUGAGGAAUACAUCGGAAUCUACUUUUUCGUGGGGGAUAACGUAGGGAAACUUACGCUAAUACCGCAUACGACCUACGGGUGAAAGCAGGGGAUCUUCGGACCUUGCGCGAUUGAAUGAGGCGAUGUCGGAUUAGCUAGUUGGCGGGGUAAAGGCCCACCAAGGCGACGAUCCGUAGCUGGUCUGAGAGGAUGAUCAGCCACACUGGAACUGAGACACGGUCCAGACUCCUACGGGAGGCAGCAGUGGGGAAUAUUGGACAAUGGGCGCAAGCCUGAUCCAGCCAUACCGCGUGGGUGAAGAAGGCCUUCGGAUUGUAAAGCCCUUUUGUUGGGAAAGAAAAGCAGCAGGUUAAUACCCCGCUGUUCUGACGGUACCCAAAGAAUAAGCACCGGCUAACUUCGUG
rnacentral:rRNA from 1 species